CGGGGUGAGUAAUGUCUGGGAAACUGCCUGAUGGAGGGGGAUAACUGCUGGAAACGGUAGCUAAUACCGCAUAACGUCGCAAGACCAAAGAGGGGGACCUUCGGGCCUCUUGCCAUCGGAUGUGCCCAGAUGGGAUUAGCUAGUAGGUGGGGUAACGGCUCACCUAGGCGACGAUCCCUAGCUGGUCUGAGAGGAUGACCAGCCACACUGGAAUUGAGACACGGUCCAG
rnacentral:rRNA from 1 species